rnacentral:rRNA from 1 species
CCUACGGGUGGCUGCAGUGAGGAAUAUUGGUCAAUGGGCUAAGGCCUGAACCAGCCAAGUCGCGUGAGGGAAGACGGUCCUAUGGAUUGUAAACCUCUUUUGUCGGGGAGCAACGAGGCCACGUGUGGCCGAAGUGAGAGUACCCGAAGAAAAAGCAUCGGCUAACUCCGUGCCAGCAGCCGCGGUAAUACGUAGGUGGCGAGCGUUAUCCGGAAUGAUUGGGCGUAAAGGGUGCGUAGGCGGCCUGCUAAGUCUGGAGUGAAAGGUACCGGCUCAACCGGUACAGGCUCUGGAAACUGGCGGGCUAGAGAGCAGGAGAGGGCGGUGGAACUCCAUGUGUAGCGGUAAAAUGCGUAGAUAUAUGGAAGAACACCAGUGGCGAAGGCGGCCGCCUGGCCUGUUACUGACGCUGAGGCACGAAAGCGUGGGGAGCAAAUAGGAUUAGAUACCCCAGUAGUC